rnacentral:rRNA from 1 species
CCUACGGGGGGCUGCAGUGGGGGAUAUUGCACAAUGGGGGAAACCCUGAUGCAGCGACGCCGCGUGAGUGAAGAAGUAUUUCGGUAUGUAAAGCUCUAUCAGCAGGGAAGUAAAUGACAGUACCUGACCAAGAAGCUCCGGCUAACUACGUGCCAGCAGCCGCGGUAAUACGUAGGGGGCCAGCGUUAUCCGGAUUUACUGGGUGUAAAGGGAGCGUAGACGGUUAUGUAAGUCUGGAGUGAAAGCCCGGGGCCCAACCCCGGGACUGCUUUGGAAACUGUGUAACUGGAGUGCAGGAGGGGCAGGCGGAAUUCCUGGUGUAGCGGUGAAAUGCGUAGAUAUCAGGAGGAACACCGGCGGCGAAGGCGGCCUGCUGGACUGAAACUGACGUUGAGGCUCGAAAGCGUGGGGAGCAAACAGGAUUAGAUACCCUAGUAGUC